rnacentral:rRNA from 1 species
CAGCAGCCGCGGUAACACCGAGGGUGCGAGCGUUAAUCGGAUUUACUGGGCGUAAAGCGUGCGUAGGCGGCUUCUUAAGUCGGAUGUGAAAUCCCUGAGCUUAACUUAGGAAUUGCAUUCGAUACUGGGAAGCUAGAGUAUGGGAGAGGAUGGUAGAAUUCCAGGUGUAGCGGUGAAAUGCGUAGAGAUCUGGAGGAAUACCGAUGGCGAAGGCAGCCAUCUGGCCUAAUACUGACGCUGAGGUACGAAAGCAUGGGGAGCAAACAGGAUUAGAGACCCCUGUAGUCCCUGUCUCUUAUAC